AUGCUCAUUUCAGCAGCACAUAUACUAAAACCGGCCCUUUACAGAGAAGAUGAGCACAGCCCCUGCACAAGAAUGGCGUGCAAAUUUGUGAACUGUUCCAUAUUUUU
rnacentral:snRNA from 2 species